AGGGCUGGGAGACAAUACAGCAAAAAGCCUGCCAUGUCCUGGUGAUAGGAGCCCAUUUCAGCGGCCAAAAAAUCUUUCCAACAGCUUCUGUUUUGCUGGUAAAUGUCUGUGUUUGUGUUGGUUGUAGGAGGAAACCUGGGAAAACAAGUUGGGUUCUGGAUGAGAAAAUGGGUGACUUUGUUAUAGGAUGGAGCAAAGAGAAUCACAAGAAAGCUCAAUGGCAUUUGACCCCAAAUGGAAAACCCAAAAUGACACUUCCAUUAGGAUAUUCCUUUGUUUUGGAAGAACAGGGUGAGAAGAAGAAAGACAGGGGCAAACUUUACCAGACAUGCCCUUCACCAGCCAGGAUUAGUAACUGAAGAGGAAGGAGAGAAUGCUGGGUGCACUCCAGCUGCUGGGACCCUUCUCUUUCCAUCUCACUGUACCUUUGCUUCUGGAGGAAGGAAAAUACAUUCAAGUCCUAGGAAGAUUCUGAAGGUCAAAUGAGGGAAAGGAGCCCUGCCCAGCAAGAUGUAUCAUGUCAAGCCACCUGCUUCUAUCAGUCCCAAAUCCACCAUCGCCUUAGUUCCUGACUGCAAUUAGCACAACUGUGUUAUCACCUGCUCUAGCUUUAGAGAGAGACUGCAUUUAACAUCAAGAAUGAGGGUGCUUUUGGGAAAAUGAAAAAAAAAAAAAAAAAAAAACACAUGAACAUCAUUUCAGAAAGGAAGAGGAAAAAUGAUGAUGAUUCUCCUUGAUAUGAAAUAAUGAACUGCAAGCUCUAAAACAGAACAUUGCAUUGAACAAGAGGAGGACAGAGGCAGAAAAACUUGCCUGUGAAUUGAAAGAUAUGAGAUAGUCUGGUACCACAAUGAA
rnacentral:antisense_RNA from 1 species